GGUGACUGCGUACCUUUUGUAUAAUGGGUCAGCGACUUAUAUUCUGUAGCAAGGUUAACCGUAUAGGGGAGCCGCAGGGAAACCGAGUCUUAACUGGGCGUUAAGUUGCAGGGUAUAGACCCGAAACCCGGUGAUCUAGCCAUGGGCAGGUUGAAGGUUGGGUAACACUAACUGGAGGACCGAACCGACUAAUGUUGAAAAAUUAGCGGAUGACUUGUGGCUGGGGGUGAAAGGCCAAUCAAACCGGGAGAUAGCUGGUUCUCCCCGAAAGCUAUUUAGGUAGCGCCUCGUGAACUCAUCUUCGGGGGUAGAGCACUGUUUCGGCUAGGGGGUCAUCCCGACUUACCAACCCGAUGCAAACUACGAAUACCGAAGAAUGUUAUCACGGGAGACACACGGCGGGUGCUAACGUCCGUCGUGAAGAGGGAAACAACCCAGACCGCCAGCUAAGGUCCCAAAGUCAUGGUUAAGUGGGAAACGAUGUGGGAAGGCACAGACAGCCAGGAUGUUGGCUUAGAAGCAGCCAUCAUUUAAAGAAAGCGUAAUAGCUCACUGGUCGAGUCGGCCUGCGCGGAAGAUGUAACGGGGCUAAACCAUGCACCGAAGCUGCGGCAGCGACACUAUGUGUUGUUGGGUAGGGGAGCGUUCUGUAAGCCGUUGAAGGUGGCCUGUGAGGGUUGCUGGAGGUAUCAGAAGUGCGAAUGCUGACAUAAGUAACGAUAAAGCGGGUGAAAAGCCCGCUCGCCGGAAGACCAAGGGUUCCUGUCCAACGUUAAUCGGGGCAGGGUGAGUCGACCCCUAAGGCGAGGCCGAAAGGCGUAGUCGAUGGGAAACAGGUUAAUAUUCCUGUACUCGGUGUUACUGCGAAGGGGGGACGGAGAAGGCUAUGUUAGCCGGGCGACGGUUGUCCCGGUUUAAGCAUGUAGGCGG
rnacentral:rRNA from 1 species